rnacentral:lncRNA from 1 species
GCCAGCCGUCAUCAUGUGAAUCAACCCCUCCAGAGUAGUGGUAGUCUCGACUCUAAUCUGACUUAAGGCCUGAAUCAAUGCAUCUUUAUGGGUGCUAGAAAUGUCAAUAAACUUUAAAUAGAUAUAUGAGCUUAGGUGCUCUAUAACUAUCUCAGGAUCUCAUCAUCCUCUCUACUGACCUCCUCAUAAGAAGAUGUACCCUCCAAGGGUCUAACGGCUAUGGGG